rnacentral:rRNA from 3 species
CCUACGGGAGGCAGCAGUGGGGAAUAUUGCACAAUGGGGGAAACCCUGAUGCAGCCAUGCCGCGUGUGUGAAGAAGGCCUUCGGGUUGUAAAGCACUUUCAGUUGUGAGGAAAAGUUAGUAGUUAAUACCUGCUAGCCGUGACGUUAACAACAGAAGAAGCACCGGCUAACUCCGUGCCAGCAGCCGCGGUAAU